rnacentral:rRNA from 1 species
AUUGAACGCUGGCGGUAGGCCUAACACAUGCAAGUCGAACGCGAAAGUCCUUCGGGAUGAGUAGAGUGGCGGACGGGUGAGUAACGCGUAGGAAUCUAUCCUGUAGUGGGGGAUAACGUUUCGAAAGGAACGCUAAUACCGCAUACGCCCCAAGGGGGAAAGCGGGGGAUCUUCGGACCUCGUGCUAUAGGAGGAGCCUGCGUCGGAUUAGCUAGUUGGUGAGGUAAAGGCUCACCAAGGCGACGAUCCGUAGCUGGUCUGAGAGGAUGAUCAGCCACACCGGAACGGGGACACGGUCGGGACUCCUACGGGGGGCAGCAGUGGGGAAUAUUGCGCAAUGGGCGAAAGCCUGACGCAGCCAUACCGCGUGUGUGAAGAAGGCCUUCGGGUUGUAAAGCACUUUCAGUGGGGAGGAAAAGCUGGUGGCUAAUAUCCAUCGGCCGUGACGCUACCCACAGAAGAAGCACCGGCUAAUUCCGUGCCAGCAGCCGCCGUAA